rnacentral:rRNA from 1 species
GGGACGUACUGGCCAGGGGGGGGGGUAGGGGGUAGGGUGGAGUGGUGUGGCGGAGGUAUUGGGGGUAAAGGGCUGGGAGGCGGCCGUGUAGGGCGUGUGUGAAAACGCGAGGAGCAACCGCGAGAUGUCGAUGGAAACCAGCUGGCUAGAGUCCGGAAGAGGAGAGUGGAAUUCCUGGUGUAGCGGUGAAAUGCGCAGAUAUCAGGAAGAACACCCGUGGCUAAGGCGGCUCUCUAGUACGGUACUGACGCUGAGACGCGAAAGCGUGGGGAGCGAACAGGAUUAGAUACCCCAGUAGUC